AGCGAACGCUGGCGGCAGGCUUAACACAUGCAAGUCGAGCGGGCAUCCUUGUGGUGUCAGCGGCAGACGGGUGAGUAACGCGUGGGAACGUGCCCUUCGGUUCGGAAUAACUCAGGGAAACUUGAGCUAAUACCGGAUACGUGCGAGAGCAGAAAGGUUUAUCUGCCGAAGGAUCGGCCCGCGUCUGAUUAGCUAGUUGGUGAGGUUACGGCUCACCAGGGCGACGAUCAGUAGCUGGUCUGAGAGGAUGAUCAGCCACACUGGGACUGAGACACGGCCCAGACUCCUACGGGAGGCAGCAGUGGGGAAUAUUGGACAAUGGGGGCAACCCUGAUCCAGCCAUGCCGCGUGAGUGAUGACGGCCUUAGGGUUGUAAAGCUCUUUUCUCCGGGACGAUAAUGACGGUACCGGAGGAAUAAGCCCCGGCUAACUUCGUG
rnacentral:rRNA from 1 species